rnacentral:rRNA from 1 species
GCGCGAAAACUUUACAAUGCUGGAAACAGCGAUAAGGGGACCUCGAGUGCCAGGUUACAAAUCUGGCUGUCGUGAUGCCUAAAAAGCAUUGCAUAGCAAGGGCCGGGCAAGACCGGUGCCAGCCGCCGCGGUAACACCGGCGGCUCGAGUGGUAACCGUUAUUAUUGGGUCUAAAGGGUCUGUAGCCGGCCGGAUAAGUCUCUUGGGAAAUCCAGCAGCUUAACUGUUGGGCUUUCAGGAGAUACUGUCUGGCUCGAGGCCGGGAGAGGUGAGAGGUACUUCAGGGGUAGGGGUGAAAUCUUGUAAUCCUUGAAGGACCACCAGUGGCGAAGGCGUCUCACCAGAACGGACCUGACGGCAAGGGACGAAAGCUAGGGGCACGAACCGGAUUAGAUACCCGGGUAGUCCUAGCCGUAAACGAUACUCGCUAGGUGUCGGCCACGGUGCGACCGUUGUCGGUGCCGUAGGGAAGCCGUGAAGCGAGCCACCUGGGAAGUACGGCCGCAAGGCUGAAACUUAAAGGAAUUGGCGGGGGAGCACCGACAAC